AACUGAAGAGUUUGAUCAUGGCUCAGAUUGAACGCUGGCGGCAGGCUUAACACAUGCAAGUCGAGCGGAGUGAUGGUGCUUGCACUAUCACUUAGCGGCGGACGGGUGAGUAAUGCUUAGGAAUCUGCCUAUUAGUGGGGGACAACAUUUCG
rnacentral:rRNA from 1 species